rnacentral:rRNA from 1 species
AACGAACGCUAUCGGUAUGCUUAACACAUGCAAGUCGGACGGACUAAUUAGGGCUUGCUCCAAUUAGUUAGUGGCAGACGGGUGAGUAACACGUGGGAAUCUGCCCAUCAGUACGGAAUAACUUUUAGAAAUAUAAGCUAAUACCGUAUAUUCUCUACAGAGGAAAGAUUUAUCGCUGAUGGAUGAGCCCGCGUCAGAUUAGGUAGUUGGUGAGGUAACGGCUCACCAAGCCGACGAUCUGUAGCUGGUCUGAGAGGAUGAUCAGCCACACUGGGACUGAGACACGGCCCAGACUCCUACGGGAGGCAGCAGUGGGGAAUAUUGGACAAUGGGCGAAAGCCUGAUCCAGCAAUACCGAGUGAGUGAUAAAGGCCCUAGGGUUGUAAAGCUCUUUUAGCAAGGAAGAUAAUGACGUUACUUGCAGAAAAAGCCCCGGCUAACUCCGUG